CUGUAUGACUUAGAUAUAACGAACGAAUGUGUACCAGUUUCACCUUGCCAUGCCAAUGCAACAUGUAAUAACACAGAAGAAUCUUACAUCUGCACAUGUGAUUCUGGAUACAGUGGUGAUGGAUUUACAUGCAAUGGUAAAAAUUUAUGCACGACAUGAAUGUAAGAUUGGCAACGACCACCAAAACUAUACUACAUAACUUUA
rnacentral:lncRNA from 1 species